rnacentral:rRNA from 1 species
AGAGUUUGAUCCUGGCUCAGGAUGAACGCUGGCGGCGUGCCUAACACAUGCAAGUCGAACGAAGCACCUUUUGAGAUUCUUCGGAUGAUCGAUCGGUGACUGAGUGGCGGACGGGUGAGUAACGCGUGGGUAACCUGCCCUGUACAGGGGGAUAACAGCUGGAAACGGCUGCUAAUACCGCAUAAGCGCACGAGGAGACAUCUCCUAGUGUGAAAAACUCCGGUGGUACAGGAUGGGCCCGCGUCUGAUUAGCUGGUUGGCAGGGUAACGGCCUACCAAGGCAACGAUCAGUAGCCGGUCUGAGAGGAUGAACGGCCACAUUGGAACUGAGACACGGUCCAAACUCCUACGGGAGGCAGCAGUGGGGAAUAUUGCACAAUGGGGGAAACCCCGAUGCAGCAACGCCGCGUGAGUGAAGAAGUAUUUCGGUAUGUAAAGCUCUAUCAGCAGGGAAGAUAAUGACGGUACCUGACUAAGAAGCUCCGGCUAAAUACGUGCCAGCAGCCGCGGU